AGAGUUUGAUCCUGGCUCAGGACGAACGCUGGCGGCGUGCUUAACACAUGCAAGUUGAACGGGGCAUAUAUUUGACAGACUUUUCGGAGUUUAGAAGAUAUAUGUUUAGUAGCGGACGGGUGAGUAAUGCAUGAGAACCUGCCCUUCAGAGGGGGACAACAGCUGGAAACGGUUGCUAAUACCCCAUAAGCCGAGAGGUAAAAGGAGUAAUCCGCUGAGGGAGGGGCUCAUGUCCUAUCAGCUAGUUGGUAAGGUAACGGCUUACCAAGGCGAAGACGGGUAGCCGGCCUGAGAGGGCGAUCGGCCACACUGGAACUGAGAUACGGUCCAGACUCCUACGGGAGGCAGCAGUGGGGAAUAUUGGGCAAUGGGCGCAAGCCUGACCCAGCGACGCCGCGUGAGGGAAGAAGGCCCUUGGGUCGUAAACCUCUGUUGUAUGGGAAGAAGGACGUGACGGUACCAUACGAGGAAGUCCCGGCUAACUACGUGCCAGCAGCCGCGGUAAUACGUAGGGGACGAGCGUUGUCCGGAAUUACUGGGCGUAAAGGGCGCGCAGGCGGAUAUUUAAGUCAGCUGUUAAAGUCAUGGGCUCAACUCAUGGAUGCGGUUGAAACUGGAUAUCUCGAGUGCUGGAGAGGUAGGCGGAAUUCCCGGUGUAGCGGUGAAAUGCGUAGAUAUCGGGAAGAACACCAGUGGCGAAGGCGGCUUACUGGCCAGCAACUGACGCUGAGGCGCGAAAGCCAGGGGAGCGAACGGGAUUAGAUACCCCGGUAGUCCUGGCUGUAAACGAUGGGUACUAGGUGUUGGGGGUAUCGACCCCUCCAGUGCCGCAGUUAACGCAAUAAGUACCCCGCCUGGGGAGUACGGCCGCAAGGUUGAAAC
rnacentral:rRNA from 1 species